rnacentral:tmRNA from 1 species
GCUAAUCCUAUACUAGGUAUAGGAGCUGAACAUCUCGCAGGAGCCCCCGUCCUGAGGCGACUGAUCACGAGGUGUGGAAAAUUCAGGAAUGCAGUUAGCCUUCGCUUCGCGGGCUAGCCUAAGUCUAGAAGAUAAGCCGUGAUUAGGGUGCUUGUGCUCAGAGAUCGGUCGAAAAUCUAAUCACAAGAUAAACAUGUAGAAAGCCUCAGGCUUCCUUGUUUGGACGCGGGUUCGAUUCCCGCCAGCUCCACUU